rnacentral:tRNA from 1 species
GUCCAGGGUAGCCUAGUGGUCAUGGUAAGCGGAAGGUCGUGGGUUCGAUUCCCAUCCCUUGACA